GGGAGGAUUACAAUAGUCCAGUUUUGGAUCCAUUGACACCAGCUACGCGCCAGGUUGACCAGUGGGCUUACAUUUAUCUAUACAUCCAUUGAAAUGGCAGUUGCACGAACAAGUUUGCCCAAAACCAACUACAAUACUACGUAUAUAUUUUUUAAGAAGUGGUAUCUUUCUAGAUCUGAUCAUUUUUUUUUGGGGGGGAAA
rnacentral:lncRNA from 1 species